rnacentral:rRNA from 1 species
GGGUAAUUAUAUAAAUAUAGUUAUAAAAACACGAAAUUUUGUGAGCUAAUUAGUAAUAAAUAUUAGUAUUUCUAUGUUGCAUAAUAGUUAAAAAAUUAAUAAUUAGGGGUGACAGGCUUCUCAAACUAAGUGAUAUCUUGAUUUUCAGGAAAAGUAAUAGUACGAAGACAAUUUUGAAGCGACGAGGUUUUAAAAAAGGAUAAAUUUGCGUGUAAAUUUAUUUCGUUAGUUAAUACUAUGUAAAUAUUUAUGAAAAUAUAAAUUGGAAAUUAUUAUCUUAAUUACUGAAAACUAUCUAAAUUUUAUUAGUAAUUAUAAUGUUAAUAUAAGUAUUUUAUUAAAUAUAAGUAAUGAACUCGGCAAUAAACUUUUCAACUGUUUAUCAAAAACAUAGCUAUAUGGAACAUAUAUAGUGAAUUCUGCCCACUGAAUUUUAAAUGGCCGCAGUACCCUGACUGUGCUAAGGUAGCAUAAUCACUUGGCUUAUAAUUGAAGUCUUGCAUGAACGGAAUAAUGGAAAGUAACUGUAUCACAAAUAAAAAUUGAAAUUAUUGAGAAAGUGCAAAUGCUUUCGAUUUAAAUAAUAGACGAGAAGACCCUAGAAAUUUUUACUAAAGUGAUUUUUAAGGUUUUUGUUGGGGCAACAUUGGAGCAACUGAAUCUCCACUAUUAACAAGACAAUUAUCUUUUGUCAGAUUAAAUUACUCUAGGGAUAACAGCGUAAUUUAUUAAUGGUUGCGACCUCGAUGUUGGAUUAGGAACAUAUAUUUUAGAAGACGAAUAUGUAAGCUCUGUUCAGCUGUA